CCCGCGGAGCAGCGCCGGGGCCGCCGGGCCCGGCCGGGGCCUGUGGCCGCCGCGCCGUUGCCAUGGCGCUGCAAACACGGCCCGGGCAGCCCGGCCUGGCACCGCGCUCCCUCAGGGAGGACAGUCCCGAAGGAGAGGCAUGAGAAGCAGAAAUCUGAGGAUGCUUGUAGCCAGAAAUGAAACUAAACACUCCCAGAAUGUUAGUUGCUGCCUUGGCUCCAGCAUGGAAGAAAAAGUCACGUUUCUGGUGGGGUCAGCAAAACCUAUGUGCAAAGAAGGAAUUCAGGGUCCUAUAUGAGGAUUUCAGAGGGAUUUAGGUGUUUCACCACUGGGAACUGAAAACCAUCCUACCUAGCAAGUACCUUAUCCUAGAACUGCAUAAAUCCUUCAGGGUUUUUUGGCAUAAAAGUUCACUCAAAGGUUCUCUGUUUGUUUUCAGACCAGCACUGCUUUUAGCAGCUUGGCAAAAAUCCCACUGGGAUCAGUUGUACAAGAUGUCAUGGAUGCAAGGUACAUGAAGGGCUCCUUUGAGAAGCCUAAUCCAUCAGCCAGGCUCGGGAAGUGCCCAAAAGGCACUAAAACCUUGCCAUUCCCAGAAAACUACCAUUUGUGCCCCCUUUCACAGAGCAGAGUAGUAAAUCCAGUUGUAACGCUCAACUGUGAAAAAAUGUUUUAUUUUAACUCAUACAUGACUUUGGUGGAAUCCAUGGUAAGUUAAAACAGAACAAAUGCACGUGCCCAGGGACUGCAGCUUAAAGUCCAGAAGCUGAUGAAUGUCAAUAAUAAACAAGCAGCAAAUCUGUUAUCAUAGAGGCAGGGAAAAUGGCUUCAUCUCCUAGAAACACAGGAUAUUUUGCACCCUCUACUCCAGAUGUGCAUUUCCACUUUGGGGGGAUGCCUGCCCAAACACAAUCACUGGUCUAGUAGCUAAAUGCCAGAAUAAUACUUCUUCUAAUUGUCUUAAUGGAAUAUUGUUAGCUGUGUGAUUAGCUUUUAAGGGUGGUUUAGGUCAGGGGGAGUCUCCCUUAAGGGGACAAUAGUAUUUCCAAAAGCCUAAAAGAUAAGCUGAAUAAUGUGUUCUUCAAGAUAUGCAUUUCAGGCAAAUGUUUCAUAUAUAUCUGAAGAGCAUAGUCAACAGAAAUAAAGAAUAAAAUAUGAAGAUUUAGACAAGUUACCUAUGGACAAUUAAAAUAUCAGUAUUCUGAUGAAGUAUUAACUGUUACAUUCUCUGUAUGCAGACUCUUUCAUCAAGAUAUGACAAAUAUUAAGUUAACAUUGAAUUUCCUAGUGCUGUGUAUCAGGACAUAUUCUACUGUCACUAUGAUAUUUAAAAUAGGUAUACUAAAUGUAUAUGUAAGAGAAAUAUGCAUAACAGCCCAUAAAAUGCAAAGUUAAACCUUUCCAAGAGGUAGAAGAAUUGCACUCCAUUGUAUUAUGGGCUUGGAUUGUCUCAUAAGCAAACUACUUAAUAUGAUUAAAUGUUUAAGCUAAUAUUCAUUCCACUAAUUUUCUCCCUGCCCCUCUUUCUGAUGGAGGUAUAAAUAUAGUCUGCAGUGUAGAACUUUCUCCUAAACUUCCCUGAUUGCUUGCAAUUUUUUAAGAAAAAACAACAGAAAUGAGAUUAAUGAGCCUUCCUUUUUUUAAAAUUAGAAGUGGAAGCUAUGAGGCAGGUCAGAAACAGCUGAAAUCUGGAAAUGAGUCAAUUAAGAAAAAUAAAAUUUAAAAAGAUCCCUUUCCUAUCCUUCUGCCAUCAGGUAUAUUUUGACAUAAAACUCUUAGGUCUUUGUUCUGUUUCAACAUGCUUCAAAGAUUACAUUUAGGAUUAAGCUUAUCAGAAAAAUAUACAUUGUAUUCUCUCAUAGAGAAUCUAUUAGCAGUCAUCAUCACUUUUUCAUUAUCUUACAACAGCACACAUUUAGGUCAAAUAUCUUAUGUGUGUGCAUUUCAGUCCUGAUUUUACAUUGCCAGUUAAAAGUUCACCAGCUAGUAAAGCUGAGAUAUAAAGAUCAAGCUCAUUUUCCUUUUUCACAUUUUUCUUUCCAUGCUCUUAUUUUAUUUUAAUUUUUAUUAUUAUUUAACUUAGCAGACCUGCAGGCCUACAGGAUGUUUCAUAAAUAAGUCAAAGCUGUGACCUAUCCCAAAAAGCAUCUUACCCUAUAGUAAAGAUGAAUGCUAGACAGGAUGGGGAAUAAGUUCCAAAAAAGGAGAUACCCAUAAAAUAUUAGACAAAAGAAAGAAAAAACACUAAAAGUAGGCUUGAAAUUGUUAGAAAAUUUAGAAAAUGGUAAUCUAUCAGAAGGCCAUCACCAGAAGAGGCUGCAAUGGAAGACAAAUGGAAGGAAAACAUCGAUUGGUCCACCUCAUACCUGCUGGCAUUUCCCUCCUCUGCUUAAUUUAUGAAGAACCAUUUGGAGAGCUGAACUUUCAGUCAAGACUUUAAUCUGUCCUCCACACAUCUGUGGAAUUUAUGCUUCCAACCAUUUGUCUGUCAGGGCAAGGAUUUCAAAGUAUUAUCCAGGCAAAGCAGAUCAAAACUUCUGAGACAACUUUGUCCACAAGGAACCACACAUGUAAACUAUGCCAGCGUGCUGGAUGAACCAGCUUCCUUGGGACUCAGGUGUUCCAGUCCACCAAAGGUCCAGUCAAGAGGCAUAAUGAAGAAGCUCCAGCAGAGACAAUAGCAUAUGCCAAUAAUGUCAAAUGUCCUGGUGGUAGAUGUCAAAUACCAGCAAGAAACACUAAACACAUGCAUGUCUACCCUUUCUUGCUAUCAAGCAGGUGUGAACAGUAGUCCCCAAACCAGGAUUCCCCAGCUGAGUUAACCAAGUGAAAUAUUACUGAUGCAUCAAAUCUGGAUAGCAGCAGUGCUGUUUGAGACAAAACAUCUCACUGACCACCAGUGAGACGGUGUUAGAUUUUUGUUACAUUGCUGUGGCUGCUGUAGAGAUCUAGAAUGAAACAGACUGGGAGACUCAUCAAGCAGAAAAGAAGAAUCAGGAGGAAAAAAAGAAAAAUAUUUCAUGUUCCUCCACUUCAAGAACACAGCAGUGUCUACUCAACAGGUGCUGAGAAUUGUAUGAGAAUCCAUAAGUAGAAGUGCUCCUUAAGAUUUCAAUAAUGCUUCAGAAAAUCAUCCAAAAAUUACAGCCAUCUUUUUUUUUUUUUUGUAGUUUUUUUUACUUUCCUAACUACCUAUUGCUCUCCUAGACUCCAGGAGUACCUAGCUGAAAAAUAAAGAAUGCUUUAAGUUACCAAAUCCUCAUCCAGUCUUCAUUAAACAGACUGAAAAUAAAAUUAAAUUCAAAUGCUGUCAUUCUGACAUUGUUUCAAAUAUGUUACAUGGGAAUACUUAGACUUUUCCAAUUUGAGUUUAAAAAAGUUGAUGUUUUCCCUUUCUUGUUUACUAAUGUCUUAAGAACAUCAAGUAUGAAUAAAAUGCAUACAAUGUU